rnacentral:rRNA from 1 species
UAUUUCGGCAAUAACACGUUGAAAGCGUCAGUUUCCAAUGGAUCACUAAUGUUAAGCAACCUCGCGCGUGGUUGGUAUCCGGAUGGGUGACCAUCUGAGCAAUCUUGCUGGCUUUU